rnacentral:rRNA from 1 species
AUUGAACGCUGGCGGCAGGCCUAAUACAUGCAAGUCGAACGAGUGGCGGACGGGUGAGUAAUGUCUGGGAAACUGCCUGAUGGAGGGGGCUAAGUACUGGAAACGGUAGCUAAUACCGCAUACCAUCAGAUGUGCCCAGAUUGGAUUAGCGAGUUGGUGGGGUAACGGCUCACCAAGGCGACGAUCCCUAGCUGGUCUGAGAGGAUGACCAGCCACACUGGAACUGAGACACGGUCCAGACUCCUACGGUAGGCAGCAGUGGGGAAUAUUGCACAAUGGGCGCAAGCCUGAUGCAGCCAUGCCGCGUGUAUGAAGAAGGCCUUCGGGUUGUAAAGUACUUUCAGCGGGGAGGCGUUACCCGCCGAGGAAGCACCGGCUAACUCCGUGCCAGCAGCCGCGGUAAUUC